UCAAGUGAAUAAGUGCAUACGGUGGAUGCCUAGGCGACAAGAGGCGAUGAAGGACGUUGUAGCUUGCGAUAAGCUUCGGGGAGGUAGCAAACAACCUUUGAUCCGAAGAUUUCCGAAUGGGGAAACCCGGCCAUUUUUAAUGGUCACCUUAUACUGAAUACAUAGGUAUAAGGAGCGAACCUGGGGAACUGAAACAUCUAAGUACCCAGAGGAAAAGAAAUCAACCGAGAUUCCCUUAGUAGCGGCGAGCGAACGGGGACCAGCCCUUAAGCUCUAUUUGUGUUAGUGGAACAUACUGGAAAGUUUGGCCAUAGUGGGUGAUAGCCCCGUACACGAAAAUGCAUUUAGAGUGAAAUCGAGUAGAUCGGGACACGUGAUAUCCUGAUUGAACAUGGGGGGACCAUCCUCCAAGGCUAAAUACUACUUGUCGACCGAUAGUGAACCAGUACCGUGAGGGAAAGGCGAAAAGAACCCCUGUUAGGGGAGUGAAAUAGAUCCUGAAACCGUAUGCAUACAAGCAGUGGGAGCACCUUCGUGGUGUGACUGCGUACCUUUUGUAUAAUGGGUCAGCGACUUACUUUCAGUGGCAAGCUUAACCGUUAGGGGAGGCGUAGGGAAACCGAGUCUUAAUAGGGCGUCAUAGUCGCUGGGAGUAGACCCGAAACCGGGCGAUCUAUCCAUGGCCAGGGUGAAGGUGAGGUAAAACUUACUGGAGGCCCGAACCCACUUAUGUUGAAAAAUGAGGGGAUGAGCUGUGGAUCGGAGUGAAAGGCUAAACAAGCCCGGAGAUAGCUGGUUCUCCUCGAAAUCUAUUUAGGUAGAGCCUCGCAUAUCACUGUUGGGGGUAGAGCACUGUUACGGCUAGGGGGUCAUCCCGACUUACCAACCCGUUGCAAACUCCGAAUACCAACAAGUGCAAUUGCGGGAGACACACGGCGGGUGAUAAGGUCCGUUGUGGAAAGGGAAACAGCCCAGACCGUCAGCUAAGGUCCCAAAAUGAUACUCAGUGGAAAACGAUGUGAAAAGGCACAGACAGCCAGGAGGUUGGCUUAGAAGCAGCCAUCCUUUAAAGAAAGCGUAAUAGCUCACUGGUCAAGUCGGUUUGCGCGGAAGAUUUAUCGGGGCUUAAGUAUCAUACCGAAGCUACGGAUGCGUGUUUACACGCAUGGUAGAGGAGCGUUCUGUACGCCUGUGAAGGUGAACCGAGAGGUUUGCUGGAGGUAUCAGAAGUGCGAAUGCUGACAUGAGUAACGAUAAUGGGGGUGAAAAACCCCCACGCCGAAAACCCAAGGUUUCCUGCGCAAUGCUAAUCAGCGCAGGGUUAGUCGGAACCUAAGGCGAGGCCGAAAGGCGUAGUCGAUGGACAACAGGUUAAUAUUCCUGUACCGCGUAUAACUGCGAUGGGGAGACGGAGAAGGCUAGAUCAGCAUACUGUUGGAUAUGUAUGUUUAAGCAUGUAGGGCGAGUUCUUAGGUAAAUCCGGGAGCUCAUUAAACCUGAGAUGUGAUGUCGAGGACUCUACGGAGUCCGGAGUGAUUGAUGCCAUGCUUCCAAGAAAAUCCUCUAAGCUUCAGGUUAUAGGCGUCCGUACCCCAAACCGACACAGGUGGGUGGGAUGAGAAUUCUAAGGCGCUUGAGAGAACUCUGGUGAAGGAACUAGGCAAAAUGGUACCGUAACUUCGGGAGAAGGUACGCCCUCUAGGUGACGCGACUUGCUCGUUGAGCUCAAGAGGGUUGCAAUAAAAUGGUGGCUGCGACUGUUUACUAAAAACAUAGCACUCUGCAAACUCGUAAGAGGAAGUAUAGGGUGUGACGCCUGCCCGGUGCCGGAAGGUUAAUUGAUGGGGUUAUCUUCGGAGAAGCUCUUGAUCGAAGCCCCGGUAAACGGCGGCCGUAACUAUAACGGUCCUAAGGUAGCGAAAUUCCUUGUCGGGU
rnacentral:rRNA from 1 species